rnacentral:rRNA from 1 species
GAUGAACGCUAGCUACAGGCUUAACACAUGCAAGUCGAGGGGUAACGAGAGGAAAGCUUGCUUUCCUUGUCGACGACCGGCGCACGGGUGAGUAACGCGUAUCCAACCUGCCCCCAACUAAGGAAUAACCUUGCGAAAGUAAGACUAAUACCUUAUAAUUUCCUCAGAUGUCAUCUGACGAGGAAUAAAGAUUUAUCGGUUGUGGAUGGGGAUGCGUCUGAUUAGCUUGUUGGCGGGGUAACGGCCCACCAAGGCAACGAUCAGUAGGGGUUCUGAGAGGAAGGUCCCCCACAUUGGAACUGAGACACGGUCCAAACUCCUACGGGAGGCAGCAGUGAAGAAUAUUGGUCAAUGGGCGAGAGCCUGAACCAGCCAAGUAGCGUGCAGGAUGACGGCCCUAUGGGUUGUAAACUGCUUUUAUACAGGAAUAAAGUUAGCCACGUGUGGUUAUUUGUAGGUACUGUAUGAAUAAGGACCGGCUAAUUCCGUGCCAGCAGCCGCCGUAA